rnacentral:tRNA from 1 species
GCGUACAUAACUCAGUUGGUAGAGUCGGUGCCUUCCAAGCACUCGGUCGCAGGUUCGAGUCCUGUUGUACGCUCCA